GAAUCAAGAAAUACAAGACAAAGCUUCUAACUUUAGUCUUAAGCAGUGUAAUUCUGUUUUUGAUCCU
rnacentral:tRNA from 1 species